GACGAACGCUGGCGGCGUGCUUAACACAUGCAAGUCGAACGUGAUUUUUGUGGAAAUUCUUUCGGGAAUGGAAAUGAAAUGAAAGUGGCGAACGGGUGAGUAACACGUGAGCAACCUACCUUACACAGGGGGAUAGCCGUUGGAAACGACGAUUAAUACCGCAUGAGACCACAGAAUCGCAUGAUAUAGGGGUCAAAGAUUUAUCGGGGUAAGAAGGGCUCGCGUCUGAUUAGCUAGUUGGAAGGGUAAAGGCCUACCAAGGCGACGAUCAGUAGCCGGUCUGAGAGGAUGAACGGCCACAUUGGAACUGAGACACGGUCCAAACUCCUACGGGAGGCAGCAGUGGGGAAUAUUGCACAAUGGGGGGAACCCUGAUGCAGCGACGCCGCGUGAGCGAAGAAGGUUUUCGAAUCGUAAAGCUCUGUCCUAUGAGAAGAUAAUGACGGUAUCAUAGGAGGAAGCCCCGGCUAAAUACGUG
rnacentral:rRNA from 1 species